rnacentral:rRNA from 1 species
AACGAACGCUGGCGGCAGGCCUAACACAUGCAAGUCGAACGAACUCUUCGGGUCUAGUGGCGGACGGGUGCGUAACGCGUGGGAACGUGCCCUUAGGUUCGGAAUAACUCACCGAAAGGGGUGCUAAUACCGGAUAUGCUCUUCGGGCGAAAGAUUUAUCGCCUUUGGAUCGGCCCGCGUUUGAUUAGCUAGUUGGUGGGGUAAAAGCCUACCAAGGCGACGAUCCAUAGCUGGUCUGAGAGGAUGAUCAGCCACACUGGGACUGAGACACGGCCCAGACUCCUACGGGAGGCAGCAGUGGGGAAUAUUGGGCAAUGGGCGAAAGCCUGAUCCAGCAAUGCCGCGUGAGUGAUGAAGGCCUUAGGGUUGUAAAACUCUUUUACCCGGGAUGAUAAUGACAGUACCGGGAGAAGAAGCCCCGGCUAACUCCGUG